GAGACAAACAUCCACAGAUUGUCUCGUUUUGAUUCCCAUCGGAAACUUCCUGGUCCGUCUCUCCACGCAUCACUUCCUGUAAUAAAAAACAGUUCGGACCGUAACGUUCCCGCCUCCAGGGUUCUUCUGGUGCCGACUUUAAACAAAGUUGAACAUACUUUUGUUUCUUCAGCGGCAGAGUUGGCUUUUGUGGUUGAGUGGAUUUUUUCAACUUGUACUACAUUAAAAACACAGAACAG